rnacentral:ncRNA from 1 species
AUAAAUAAGUUUUUAUAGCUAAAAAAAUUUUUUUAAAAUUUAUUUUAUAUAUAAAUUUUAGUAAAAAAAUUUAAUUAUUUUAAUAUUAAUUAAUUAAUUUUUUGUAGUAAAUAAUAUUAAAAAUUUAAGAAAUUAAGAUUUAGUAAUAUUUAAAUUAAAAACAAAUUUUGUGCCAGCAGUUGCGGUUAUACAAAAUUUAAAUUAAAUUUUAUUAGUUAUUAAUAAAUAUUAAAUUUUAAUUUAAAUAUUAAAUUAUUAAGUGAAAUUUUAAUUUAAUUAAAAUUUAUUUAAUAAUAUAUGAUUUAAUAAAUUUAAUUAAAAACUAGGAUUAGAUACCCUAUUAUUAAAAUUUAAAUUGAAAUACUAAAAUAGUAUUUAAUUAUUUAUUGAAACUUAAAUAAUUUGGCGGUAUUUUAGUUUAUUUAGAGGAAUCUGUUUAUUAAUUGAUAAUCCACGAAUAAUUUUACUUAAUUAAAAAUUUUGUAUAUCGUUGUUAUAAAAAUAUUUUUAAAUAAAUUUAAUAUUUAAAUAUUUAUAAUAAAAAUUAAAUCAGAUCAAGAUGCAGAUUAUAAUUAAGAAUAUAAUGGAUUACAAUAAAUUUAUAUUUAAAUGGAUUUUUUAUUGAAAUAUAAAAUUGAAAGUGGAUUUAAAUGUAAUUUUAUUUAAUUAAUUAAAAUGAUUUAAAAUUAAAAUAUGUACAUAUUGCCCGUCGCUUUCAUUUAUAAAUUGAAAUAAGUCGUAACAAAGUAGAGGUACUGGAAAGUGUUUCUAGAAAGAA